UACGUAGGGUGCGAGCGUUGUCCGGAAUCACUGGGCGUAAAGGGCGCGUAGGCGGCCUGGUAAGUAGGGGGUGAAAUCCUGCGGCUUAACCGCAGGGCUGCCUUCUAAACUGUCAGGCUCGAGCACGGUAGAGGCAGAUGGAAUUCCCGGUGUAGCGGUGGAAUGCGUAGAGAUCGGGAAGAACAUCAGUGGCGAAGGCGGUCUGCUGGGCCGUUGCUGACGCUGAGGUGCGAAAGCGUGGGGAGCAAACAGG
rnacentral:rRNA from 1 species